AGUCACUGACAUUAGAUACCCGCGUAGUCCAGGGUGUAAACGCUGCAGACUUGGUGUUGGAGGCCCUUUGGGGGCAUUCAGUGCCGGAGAGAAGUUGUUAAGUCUGCUACUUGGGGAGUACGUCCGCAAGGAUGAAACUUAAGGGAAUUGGCGGGGGAGCACCGCAACGGGAGGAGCGUGCGGUUUAAUUGGAUUCAACACCGUAAAACUCACCAGGGAAGACUGUUACAUGAAGGCCGAGAUGAAGACUCUGCUAGAUUUUCAG
rnacentral:rRNA from 1 species